AGUUUUACUGUCCGUCCGUGUAGGUAGUGCCACGUGCCUAGUAGUGCCGAAUCCUUAAUCAGUUGAUCCUUAAUCCUUAUCAAGUUCAGGAUCAUUAUCACCGACCACCGUUUUCUAUCCAUUCGUUUUCGUUGUUGAAAUUAUUUUUCAAAUUGUCGAGAUGUUCGACUACGUCAAAUUUAGCGAGUCUUAUUCGGAAUACUUGAAUUCAUCGUUUAAGCGGUACAUUACACAUUCCAUAAAAAGACACGUGCUGGAAGAAAUAUCCGUAAUCAAAAAUCGUGCUAUAGAGGUAAUGCGGCACAAUACACCUGGAAUCGAAUUAUUGCUAAACUACCCGGACCCGGACCCGGAUCCAAACAAUGAUGAUAGACCUACAAAUACAAAUCGGAACACACUGCUGAACGAUCAGGAAUUACUAGAGUUCCAAGUUGAGGUUCGAGACGUUUUAGAAAGAUUUUAUCCGUUAAUAAAUCAGGAUCAGAAAUCUAGCGCUAGAGCACUCGUAUUCACGGCACGCGUCCCGGUAUUGAUGUACGACAUGUGGAAGUUAGAUCUGUAGUUUUAAUAAUGAAUUUUCUAUCGAAUACAUCGCCAGUUUGUCUAUUACGAGUAGUAAUAAAACUUGAAUACCGAAAGCAAA